rnacentral:rRNA from 1 species
AUACGGAGGAUGCGAGCGUUAUCCGGAUUUAUUGGGUUUAAAGGGAGCGUAGGCGGGAGCUUAAGUCAGCGGUUAAAUGGUGCGGCUCAACCGUGCCCUGCCGUUGAAACUGGGUUUCUUGAGAGUGCAAGAGGCGGAUGGAAUUCAUGGGGUAGCGGUGAAAUGCUUAGAUAUCAUGAAGAACUCCGAUUGCGAAGGCAGUCCGCUGGGGCACGUCUGACGCUGAUGCUCGAAGGUGCGGGAAUCAAACAGGAUUAGAUACCCUGGUAGUCCGCACGGUAAACGAUGAUUACCCGCUGUCGGCGGUAGACAGUCGGCGGCCAAGCGAAAGCGAUAAGUAAUCCACCUGGGGAGUACGCCGGCAACGGUGAAACUCAAAGGAAUUGACGGGG